AGUCUGGUUUAAGUACCUCUUUGUAGCAGAGGCUGUGGAUGGCUGGUCCAUAUCCCUAGCCCUCACCACCUCAGGGCAUUCAAGCCUGCUUUCCAACUGCUGGUAUCUGCAUUUCUUUGCCCAAGGACACAUGUCUUUUGCCUGUGGAGCAAGCCCAAAUUGGUCCAAAGGAAUACUCCCGGGAGCAACUUCAACCUACGACUAAUGGAAGUUCAGGAGGAUGCUGUGACCCCUCAAUGGAUAUGCUAAUCAUCACAUCAGAAGCACAACUAGCUUCAAAUGGAAACCAGAUUGCACUUGGUCACUGACGAAGCAGGAGAUUAAACAAGCUACACUGUGUCUCUGGGAGAACAAAAAGCCAAAAGGCACAUUUAUCAACUCUGAAUCACAACACUGAGGAGAAGAAGACAAGCCAAGAUCAUCCUAUGCCUGGAAGAGAUCUCAGUUGUAUGGAAAUAAUCAGCCAAUAUGACCACCCACUUCUGGAAGAGCAUCUCUAAGACAGAGGGGGGACUGUGUCUCUUCACUUUCCAUACAUAGUUCUCAAUGUGUAUUUUUUUAAUUGAUUACUUUUUCCCCUUGAAGGAUUUCCUAAAAUCUAUUUAAUUUUACCUGACCUAUGUCCCAGAAAUUGUCUUUUUUCCUACUGUAAUUGCCAUUUAAAUUAAUAAAAAAUACUUGG